rnacentral:rRNA from 1 species
CCUACGGGUGGCAGCAGUGGGGGAUAUUGCACAAUGGGGGGAACCCUGAUGCAGCGACGCCGCGUGGGCGAUGGAGCGCCUCGGCGCGUAAAGCCCUAUCAGCAGGGAAGAAGAUGACGGUACCUGACUAAGAAGCCCCGGCUAAAUACGUGCCAGCAGCCGCGGUAAUACGUAUGGGGCAAGCGUUAUCCGGAUUUACUGGGUGUAAAGGGAGCGCAGGCGGCCUGGCAAGCCUGAUGUGAAAUACCGGGGCCCAACCCCGGGGCUGCAUUGGGAACUGCCAGGCUGGAGUGCCGGAGAGGCAGGCGGAAUUCCUAGUGUAGCGGUGAAAUGCGUAGAUAUUAGGAGGAACACCAGUGGCGAAGGCGGCCUGCUGGACGGUGACUGACGCUGAGGCUCGAAAGCGUGGGGAGCAAACAGGAUUAGAUACCCCUGUAGUC